GGCAGAGCUAGGAUUAGAAUCUUAAUCUCUUUCUCUUUCCCUCAUCUCUAAAUUUUCAGCAUGUAUUUCCUAAAAGUAAAAACACUCUUUCAUAACCAGAGUACAAUUACAAUAUCAGGAAAUCAACAUUAAAACAAUAUAAACAAUCUACAGACCUUAUUCAAAUUUUGUCAAUUGUCCCACUAGUGUCCUUUAUUGGACCAGGAUCCAAUCCAGAGUCACACAAAUUUAGUUGUGAUGUCUCUGCAGUUUGCUUUAAUCAGGAAAAAUUCCUCAGUCUAUCUUUGUUUUUAGGACCUUGAUACUUUUGAAGAGUACAGGUCAGUUAUUUUGAAGAAUGUCCCUAAGAUUCGGGCUGUCUGAUGGUUUUUCAUAACUAAAUUCAAGUUCUGCUGUUUCAGCACAAAUAGCACACCUUCUCAGAGUAUCAUGUCAGGAGGCGCAUGAGGUCCAUUUUUCCAUUUCUAAUGAUAGGAACCUUGAUCCCUUGUUUAAGAUGCAAUCUGCUGGUUUUUCCCAUGAUAAAGUUAUCAUUUCAUCCCUCUGUAAUGAAUAAGUAUCUUCUGAGGAGAAACCUUGAGACUGUGUAGGUUUAUUUAUCAUACUUCACCCGCUGAUUUUAUCAUCCGUGAAUGAUUUGUACCUGAAGCAACUGUUAAUGUGGUGGUUGCAAAGUGGUGACUCUAAUUCUAUCCUUUCUCCUACAUGUAUUAGUUGGAUUCCUACUGUAAGGAAAAGUUUCCCCUUCUCCCCCGUUCAUUCAUUCAUUCAUUCAUUCAUUCAUAUCAGUAUGGACUCACUCAUGGAUUCUUUUUUAUUCUAGAAUCCAUAUGUCUUAACACCUAAGUCCACUCUCUUUCCACUCUAGGGCCCAGCUGCUUAUAAUAGCAUUAUUUCAGAGAUGACUUCUUAGUUUAUCACAUUGGUUCAAAAACCUAAUUGAAAUUUUAUUCAGACCAUAGAUUUUAAGAUAGGUCUCCUCUUUCGUGACAGUACAGGUUCCAAGCUAGAGCCUAGGAAUAUCAACAGUCUUAAGAGUACUACCGCUGUUGCUCUGGGUCAUAUUUUCCAGGGUCAUAAUAACAAUUUAAAUUUUUUGCCUUAAAGCAAUGCCUUCAUCAUUUCCCACCCACCUUAAUUCGUCUUAGGCCAUGUGUGUAAGGAGUCUAACCAUGCUCAUAUUAUGGUCCUUGAGCUAAAGGAGGAUCCCAUCCUUGAACUCAGAGAAUGGGAGAAGGGUAGGCAGAGCUGGUCAUGGCCAAACCUAGGUUUCUAAGAAGGAAAAAACUGCUCUAGUUGGCAAGUUCUCUCUUUCCUGGUCCUCCCACUCCAUUGUCCCUGGGGUACCUGAAGGAGGGACAUUUGAUUUGCAUUUGUACUUGGUUGUAUAAGUCUAAAGGAGAAUGCCAACUCACAAGUCAAUAUUUGCCAUUUUUGACUACUAACUACAUGAUUUUAAAAAAAACGAAAACAAGACUUUACCACAUCCUUGAUUUCACCAUCAUGUCAUUGUGCAAGAAAAAUAAAUCAGCUAUUUAGCAGAAGCAAGAUGUGACUUUUUAAAAAAACCUAAGUGCUUUUUGUUUUUAGAAACAAAUAUAGCUGACUCAGAACCAUAAAGAAAUGAAAAAUUUCAUUUUGGGGUACACAUACCUCUGUUCUCUAAGAUGUAUUCUAAGGGAAAUUCCUCUCAGAAUUUGGCCACUUAUAACCAGUAUUAGAAUGCUCUGGGAAUAAGAACUCAAACUGAACCAGGUUGAGUUGAAAUGUCUAACACAGUGGUUCUCAAACUAUGGUGAUACUGCCCCAUGAAGGGGCAUUUGGUGGAGGAUGGAUGUGUUUUUCUGGUUGUCACAAUCAGUAAAGUCGGGGUGCUACUGGCAUUUAACAUGCAGGUGCCAAGAUGAUAAACAUCCCGCCAUGCAUGGGACAGUUCCAUAUGCAUGAGUUGCCCUGCCCAAAAUACCGAUAACAUCCAUGGAGAAACAAUCAAAGAGCUUUCCCAGGAAUUUGGAAUUAGACUAAGACUCCACCUCAGUGUAACUGCUCUCUUGAAUUGAGGAGUUGUAACCCCAAGAACUGUUGGCUGUGGACCUGAUUUACAUAGUGGAUUGGGCAGUAGAGAGAGCUCAUCUACAGUGAGAGGGGACUGACACAGAUACGUAGAUAGAAACGGGGAGAAGCGACAGAGUGAGACUCUUGCUGACACUCUGCUUCAAGCCCUUGGCUCUCUUUACACUUCAGGCCCAUCUAUAACCCUGUUGUUGGUUUCUGUGACACCCUGUUGCUUGCAGACAAGGGUGUUAACUUCGGAGAAACUGCCCUCUUCCGUCACCUGGAUGAGCAAUGGAGAAAGCUAGUGUGUCCGGGGCAAGAGGGAGGCAUCCAUGCACCACUGGAUGCUGCCUGAAGGCCUUAAGGUUCCUGGUCAGCUACUGCUGGACCAACCAAAUGUGGCCUGAGAGGUGGGUGCUAGGAGAUGGGUCUCUCCAGAAACUGCAUUGUGACUGGAGGGGGCAGGGCAGUUCCAGAAGAGGAGGAAGUGCUGGACAGCAAAUUGUACAAGAGCUCACAGCAUUCCCAGUAGGAGGUCAGCCCAGACUGAGACUGGAACUUCUUAAAUCUCUUCCAUGGAAAGGACCGGCAUGAGUUUGGAUUAGGUGCUGUCCCAAGCCUGAGAAGAAAAACAAGGAAAGACCUUGAGAUGCUCCCAGUGAAGGGCUUCUUAUUUUUAUCCAUCAGCAUGUGAUUGGAGACGGAAGAUUUGGCCUGGUUGACUCUAUAAUCUGAGCAGGAACAAUCACGUUUUUACAGUAGUGAACCAUGUGAUCAGAAAUUCAAGUAAGUUACAUUCAUUUAUUUUUAGUGAUAAUGGUGUUGGAAGGCAGCUAUGCUCACCACUAUACCACCAGUGCUCGUUUUUUAGUGAUAAUGGUAUUGAAUGAAAAUCCAUGUGACUCAAAUCUGAAUCAAGGACAUUCGGGGAAUUAUUCACACCUCUUUUCCUUUUGUCAGCAAUCCACGAUGUCCCAGUUUCAUUCUGAAAUUUUAGUGGAAUUAAAUCUGAGGAACUCAAAAAACUAUAUCAUGAAGUUUGGUUCAAUUACAAUUUUUAGCCAAGCCAAGCCUGCUAAUGAGACACACGUGGGCGACUAGUUUCGCAACCAUAGUGUUAGGCAGAUGGGUAGUCCCUGCUGAACCCCUACGUACAUGGGUGAUGGUUAAUUUUAUGUGUCAACUUGACUGGACCACGGGGUACCCAGAUAUCUAGUUAAAUAUUAUUUGGGGUGUGUCUGUGACAGUGUUUCCGGAAGUGAUUAGUAUUUGAAUUAGUAGACUGAGUAAAGCAGACUGCUCUCCCUAACGUGGGUGAGCAUCAUCCAUUCUGUUGAGGGCCUGAAUAGAACAAAAAGGUGGAAGGAGAGCACAUCUGCUCUCUGCUUAACCUUGUCUAAAUCGGGACUUUGAUCUUUUCCUGCGCUCAGAUUGGAACUUACACCAUUGCCCCCCACCCAGGCCCUCAGGUCUUGAGGCCUGGAUUGGAACUACACCUGCUUUCCUGGGUCCCUGACUUGCAAACGACUGAUUGUGGGAUUUCUCAGCCACCAUAAUGGCAUGAGCCAAUAUCUUAUAAUCUCAAAAUCUCUCUCAACAGAGAGAGAGAGAGAGAGGGGGAAGGGUUGGUUUUGUCUCACCUUGAUGUCUCGGUGGCCACACUGUGGGGCCAUUUAGCCUUGACCCCUUGCCAGCCGCUGAAUUUCUAACAUAAUGCUAAGGAGACCUAGGUUUUGUGUUGGGCCUCUGGGGCGGUUAGUUCGGCUUUGCUUCAUGGCCUCGGGCUUGGCAACCUUCUUACGGUGUGAGAGCAUUAAGUGGCUGGUUCAUAAAGUUGGAAGGCCCAGACCCUUUUGCAGCAUUGCUUCAGAAAACAUCCUCUGGUGAGACACUGCACAAGCUGAAUAAGUCCUUUGUUAACUUGGAGUCUGCACGAAUGUCUACAUCACAUUUGGUAAAAAAUGUAGAUUACACUGCUGGGCUUACAUCGCUGUAAUUAAAACAUUUUGUUAAUAGUCACUUAUGGAUUAAUUAUAGUUGAUCCGGAGUUAGAAUAAAUCCAGGCCAUUUUGGGGCAAUCUGGGUAUACCAUGUGAUUGUAUUUCUCUAAGUACCAGUCAGGCUGUAUAUUUUUCCAUGAUCCCUCUUGUCUAAUCUUCUGUUUUUUAUUUUUUUGACCCCAGAAAUGUAUCUGUCCUCCACCACUGGAAUAAAUAUACGAGCUUGUUUUCUAAUUUUCAAAAUAGUUUGCGGUUGUUGUUUAUUCUUUGAACCAUCUAAGUUUAUCAAAAUGUAGGAUGCAUGUAAUAGGUAUGAAUUGUUCCACUGCACUUAAGGUGCAAGAAAAAUCACUUUGCUUUGUAGGCCAGGAUUAACUCUUUGAGCCCAGUAGUAAUUAUUUAGGAAGGGGGUCCUCGCCCCCUGCCUCCCCAGGUUGUACCAGGCCCUCAGGGCCCUCUCAGUCUAGGAAGAUUGGGAAAGAGGCCUCUGUCAUUAAUCCAUUUGGUCACCAGAGAAGAUGCUCCUGGCCCCAGUGUGCAUAGACCUCCCGACAGCUGGUAGGCCCUGUAGCUGUACUCUCUCCUCACCAGGCCAAACAGCAUGGCAGCUGCUCCCAAGCUGAGGGGCUUGGUGACUGGCCUUGAUAAUAUCCCUGCAGCCAUCCCCCACUCAAGGCCCUGCCACCCCCUGGGCACUGUGUGUCCCCCUCUCCUAGUGACCUCAAACCAGAGAACCAACCACUCUCAGCCUGGCAUCAAGCCUCUUCCCAACUCCAGACACCUCAUCCCCCCAUCUCCCCCACCCCAGCCUCCUCCUGCCUGGGAACCAGGCUCGCAAACAAAAGCUUGAUCCUAAAACACAAAAUGCGUCCCUUGGGAGCCAGGAACACAGGAACAC